AACGAACGCUGGCGGCGCGUCUUAAGCAUGCAAGUCGAACGAAUGGCACUUCGGUGCCGGAAGUGGCGGACGGGUGAGUAACACGUGGGUAAUCUGCCCCUCGGUGGGGAAUAGCACAUGGAAACAUGUGAUAAUACCGCAUGAGACGGCCUGGCACAAGCCAGGUCGGGAAAGGUCCUACGGGACCGCCGGGGGAUGAGCCCGCGGCCCAUUAGCUGGUUGGCGGGGUAAAGGCCCACCAAGGCGACGAUGGGUAGCCGGACUGAGAGGUUGAACGGCCACAUUGGGAUUGAGAACGGCCCAGACUCCUACGGGAGGCAGCAGUGGGGGAAUAUUGGGCAAUGGGCGCAAGCCUGACCCAGCAACGCCGUGUGAAGGAAGAAGGUCUUCGGAUUGUAAACUUUGUCUUAUGGGACGAUAGUGACGGUACCAUAGGAGGAAGUCACGACUAACUACGUG
rnacentral:rRNA from 1 species